CUAAAAUGAACUAAGGUGAAACAUUGAUAUAUAUAAGGUUCACAUAAGAUGCCACUGGAUAGCCAACCGUUAUGUAGAAGAGGAACAACAUUAUUAUCUGGACUGCAUUAUGGAUCUUGAGUCUGAAAUAAACUAAGAAGAUACAUAAGGAAAUGGACUACGUAUCUUGAAUCUGAAAUAAUCUAAGGUGAUAUAUAAGGAUCAUAUAAAAUGCCACUGGAUAGUCAACCGCGAUUUAGCAGAGGAGCAACAUUAUUAUCUGUAACUGAGAAACAAAUCAAGGGUGGGUUGUGCCACGGCGGAUAGCCUCUCCCACUCACCAUAAAAAAGGGAAAAAGAGAAACGAAAAGAAUGGAGAAGGAGGGGAGCUUAGUACAUUAAUAAUUUCAAUCCCAUGAACUAAUUUCUAUGAUAAGCAUUUUAAGAAGAAACUGCUUUUCGCCAGGCAGAGGGUUAUUAAGAGUGAACCUUCUAAUUGUUAAUUUAUCUAAUUGUUAAUUCUACAAAAAAAAUUUAAAGAAUUAUAGAGAUUGUGUCUGCGGGCAAUAACAUUUCCUUCUAGAUUACCUCAGAAUUAUGUUAGUUGAUGUGUUGUUAACUGUUGUUAGUUUUAUGUUUGUAAUUAAUGAAUGGGUGAACUGCAAAGCUUGGUUUCCAUACAGUCGCUCACCCUAAGAAUCAGGGGGCAUUGCUAGUUUCCCCAGCGCAAUCGGGGAAGGCACCCCGAAUCGUUUGCAACACAAUCGGCAAAGUUGAACCAGCUUCAACCCUCCUGACAACUUUCGGCGACUGUCGCGAAGGUAGGAUGAGCAAUUGUAUUAUAACCGAGCCUCAGACUACUUGGGAAUAUGGCUAGAGGAGGGGUUACCUUGUAAAUGUCUCACAUCACAUUCCAGAUCUGAUAUUACCUAAGAUUUUAUGUUUUUUGUGGAUGGGGUAAAUUUUCUGUACAUUGACAUAAUUAUGUUUUUAGAAAGUGUUUUGCUAAUGCAUGAAGCUAAAAACGUUGCUGGGAGGUGUACCUUAUAUAUUAUCAUUUUCAUCAUCAUCAUCAUCAUGCUGUUCUGAAUCACUUCAAUUGUAACUAUGAAGAGAGGAGCAGGUACCCCCGAAAAGUUUUGGGUUUUUUAAAGAAUAAAGUCUAUGCUUAAAAUAUA